rnacentral:rRNA from 1 species
AGGAUCAUUAUUGAAUG